rnacentral:tRNA from 1 species
GCGCCCGUAGCUCAGCUGGAUAGAGUGUUUGGCUACGAACCAAGAGGUCGGGGGUUCGAAUCCCUCCGGGCGUACCA